rnacentral:antisense_RNA from 1 species
AUUCACGGCAGCCCUCUGCGGUCACCCGAAGGCGCCUGCAACUCAGAUGAGGCCACACCAAACAACACCCAACCACGUGGCCUCGGCACCCGCCUCCUGUCUCUGCCUGUGAGCACCGCCAGCCACGCCGAGACCAGGGCUCUCGGAACACGCCGGCUCUGAGGCCUGUCCUAUUCGGGGGUUGUUCUUUGCUCAGUUAAACUCUGUUCAAUGCAGCGCGUCUAAGGUUUUUCCCUUUUGACAGGUUCCAGGACUGAAGCCGCACAGGCCACUCCCACAGGUCACCAGAAACUAAGACGUGAGUGACGCCCGGCAGUGGCCGACUCUUUCGUGGUAGCUGCGCCCAUGACUUCUGGAGACAUCAGAGGCUUCCAGGCCCGUUUUCUGCAUUCAGCCACGGCCCACGCUUCCGGGUCUGGGGUCUCCCUCUUUGGGCCCUUCUUAGCCCCUAAAGAUCUCCUAGCCUCCGAACCUGAAAUGGCUCCCCCAAAUUGCAGAGGAGGUGGGGAGGUGGCAGCCACAGCUCAGUCACCACGCUGCUCUGCCGCCUGUGAAGCUGCAGCUGGCACCAACACCCCAACCAAAAUAGUGGCUGAGACGUGCCCGACAGCUGGCGUUUAUUUCUGUAUUAGCAGAAGCGGGUGGGAGUCAGCACCUGCCCGACCCGGCUGCAGCAUGCCAGACGCCAUCACCUGCUGCCUGGGCCCUGGAACCCUCUGCAAGAUACCAGCCAGGCCUCACGGCAGCCCUUGCUGGGCCCUGCGUUAACUCCCCCAGGCCUUGGACUCUGAGAGUUGGGACUCUCGUCUGACCCAGGUGACAGAGGAGGAAACUGAGAUGCAGAGAGCCACGUGACUCACCUGCGGGUGUACUGUGGGAAUCGCCAAGCUCGGAUGAGAACCACGUGGGCAGUUCCAGGCCCGAGGCCGCCCACCCCAGGGGGAGAGGCUUCCCAGAGCAUCUGAGUCUGCUGCCCACUGGGGUGUCUGCCCGUGCAGCUGCCAAGCCUGCUGGCCCUAGGACGCUUCACCACACUCCCUCAGCCCAAGAGAGCUGGCCGGGCUGGCUGUGGCCCCAGAAGAGGUUCUCUCUUACUCAGAGGGGAGCAGGGUGAGCCGCGUGUCCACGGCACCCCCUGCCCAGAUGCCCAGAGCCCACAGGUACCUGUCGGGCGUCCUCCUCUUGCCGUUCUCGUUGACUUCCAGCAGCAGCUCUGAGGAGUCGAUGGGGGAGGAGGCGCUGGCGUCCAGCAGGAGCUGCUCAUGCUGGGCCAGGUACUGGGCGGGCGUCUGCUUGGCCAGGCGUGCACAGUGCAGGAGCUCCCGCUGCAGCAAGGGCAGGUUUGCCUGUGGGGUGGGGAGGGAGGGCCUGGGUGGCGUGCAGGGGUGCACAGCCCUGCUCAUGUCUGAGCAGAGGGGGCCUGGGCUGGGUGGCCGAAAGCUCAACUUGACCUCGGGCCUCAAAGGUCAAGGUGCUCGACCUCUCUGGGCCUCAAGUUCCUUCCUAGCAGUGCCGUGGGAGGGUGGCGUGGGAGGGUGGGUACAGAGGCUGGCAGGAGUGCUUCACCCGGGCCACACAGCGAUGUGGGGCCUGUGGGACUUGAGCCCAGAUCCUGGACUCCCAGGGUGGGGCUUUUCCACUGCACCCAGCUCCCUCCCAUGGCGCCGUCUGGAGAAGCUGAGGAGGGGAUGAAGGGGCAGCAGAUCAUGGUGGGUCUUCCCGCCGGCACCCGCCCCGCCCAGCAGGCACUACAUGACCCAACACAGCUGGGGAAACGCAAGCUCAGAGAGGGGGAGGCGGCCCUGGGCCUACAGGUGGCUCACACGAGGGAGCUGGGAGUGAAACCCGGCUGGGAUUGCCUGCAGUACGUCUGCUCCAGCCCUGAUGGGAAACCCCUCAGGUUCAGCUUCCCCUUCCCUUCCCGCUGGUUUCCAGCCUUGGCCUCGACGGAGCGUGGACCUAGGACGUGGACACCCAUUUCUGUGGCUGCUCAGUGAUCCUCCAACCUCGGUGAGGACAGCCUCAAGACCAGGCUCCACGUUUGCGGGUAAGGACUCCGCAGCAUGAGGCUGAAGGACAGCCCGGUGUACGGGAUUCGUAUGCAGACCCUGCCUUUGACGCCUGUGUGUACCCGCGGCGCCGGCCGCCGCCUCCUCGGCUCUAGGCUGGCACUGCUGGGCCACAGGCUGGGCUCCUCCGGUGCCUUCCCCAAAGUCUUCCCAGAGCUGCCACGGGAGGGCGGACAGGCUGGACCCUGAGCGUGCUGGACCAGGGCCCGGCAGCAGGCCACUUGGGAGAGCCAGGAGUUCUAAGCAUGUGUAAAUAAAUACAAUUCCCCAACUUU